rnacentral:rRNA from 1 species
GUGCAUGCCUACACCAUAGAAUUAAUGCAUCAGAUCCCAUUCAAACUCCAUAGUUAAGUGCACUAUGGCUAGAGUAGUACUGGGAUGGGUGAUUUCCCAGGAAGUCAUAGUGUUUUAAAUU